AAAGAAACAUAACUCUCUCGAAUCUAAACCGGGGCCGCAAUCACCGUGUUCAUAAGUGACAUAUUUGAAUGGUUCACGGUCUCCCAACUUCAAUAUUUAUUUUGAUUUUGAUUUUUUUCAAAGAAAUUGAUAAGAGAAACAGCAACACAUUAUCACUACUCUGUUGUCAUUUCCUUCAAUACAACAGCAGCGAUUCUUGCAACUAAUUCUUCUGUUACCACCGAAAGGGUCCACAACGAGUCACACCUACAAGCUUUCCUUCUCCUAAGCUUUUUAACAACCUUCGGUGGCGUCACAGCAGCUUCCCGUGAAGGUAGUUUUUCUUCUUUCUCUGUUACUGUGAUUUCAUUCGUUUCAUUGGCUGGCAGAAUCUCCUUUGUUAUCUCUGUUCGUUCUACUCUCAGAGGUCCAUCGCCAUUUUCUGUAACAUUCUUAGUCUCCACAGAAGCCUCCUUAAUGGUUUCCUGUGAAGGUAGUUUUUCUUCUUUUUCUGUUACUACAACUUCAUUCGUUUUAUUGCCGGGCAGAAUCUCCUUUGUUAUCUCUGUUCGUUCUGUUAUCAGAGGUCCAUCGCCAUUUUCUGUAACAUUCUUAGUCUCCACAGAAGUCUCCUUAAUGGCUUCCUGUGAAGGAAGUUUUUCUUCUUUUUCUGUUACUUCAACUUCAUUCGUUUUAUUGCCGGGUAGAAUCUCCUUUGUUAUCUCUGUUCGUUCUGUUAUCAGAGGUCCAUCGCCAUUUUCUGUAACAUUCUUAGUCUCCACAGAAGUCUCCUUAAUGGCUUCCUGUGAAGGUAGUUUUUCUUCUUUUUCUGUUACUACAACUUCAUUCGUUUUAUUGCCGGGCAGAAUCUCCUUUGUUAUCUCUGUUCGUUCUGUUAUCAGAGGUCCAUCGACAUUUUCUGUAACAUUCUUAGUCUCGAGAGAAGUAUCCUUAAUGGUUUCCCGUGAAGGUAGUUUUUCUUCUUUUUCUGUUACUUCAACUUCAUUCGUUUUAUUGCCGGGCAGAAUCUCCUUUGUUAUCUCUGUUCGUUCUGUUAUCAGAGGUCCAUCGCCAUUUUCUGUAACAUUCUUAGUCUCGAGAGAAGAUUCCUUAAUGGUUUCCUGUGAAGGUAGUUUUUCUUCUUUCUCUGUUACUAAAGUUUCAUUCGUUUUAUUGCCGGGCAGAAUCUCCUUUGUUAUCUCUGUUCGUUCUGUUAUCAGAGGUCCAUCGCCAUUUUCUGUAACAUUCUUAGUUUCCACAGAGGUCUCCUUAAUGGUUUCCUGUGAAGGUAGUUUUUCUUCUUUUUCUGUUACUUCAACUUCAUUCGUUUUAUUGCCAGGCAGAAUCUCCUUUGUUAUCUCUGUUCGUUCUGUUAUCAGAGGUCCAUCGCCAUUUUCUGUAACAUUCUUAGUCUCCACAGAAGUCUCCUUAAUGGUUUCCUGUGAAGGUAGUUUUUCUUUUUCUGUUACUUCAACUUCAUUCGUUUUAUUGCCUGGCAGAAUCUCCUUUGUUAUCUCUGUUCGUUCUGUUAUCAGAGGUCCAUCGACAUUUUCUGUAACAUUCUUAGUCUCGAGAGAAGUCUCCUUAAUGGUUUCCUGUGAAGGUAGUUUUUCUUCUUUCUCUGUUACUAAAGUUUCAUUCGUUUUAUUGCCGGGCAGAAUCUCCUUUGUUAUCUCUGUUCGUUCUGUUAUCAGAGGUCCAUCGACAUUUUCUGUAACAUUCUUAGUCUCCACAGAAGUCUCCUUAAUGGUUUCCUGUGAAGGUAGUCUUUCUUCUUUCUCUGUUACUAAAGUUUCAUUCGUUUUAUUGCCGGGCAGAAUCUCCUUUGUUAUCUCUGUUCGUUCUACUUUAUGAGGUCCAUCGCUCUUUUCUGUUGCGUUCCUCCCCUCCACAAAUGUCAUAGUAAUGCUUUUCUGUGAAGGUAGUCUUUCUUCUUUCUCUGUUACUAAAGUUUCAUUCGUUUUAUUGCCUGGCAAGAA